GGGCGGUCGUGGGCGAGCCCCCCGCGGGGCGGUCGUGGGCGAGCCCCCCGCGGGGCGGUCGUGGGCGAGCCCCCCGCGGGGCGGUCGUGGGGAGCGUGGCCGCUUGCUGGCCGGGGCCGCUGGAACAAGUGUGUGCAGUGCCUCGGGCUGGAGAGCUCCGUGCGGCCGGGCAGCCGCCCGCUCUGUCCUCGGGAGCUCCGGGCGCCCGGCAGGGACGUACCCAGGCUUUUCUGCCUUCUCCAGGCUGGUCUCUCCCUUCCUGGUAGACGCCCAGGGCCCGCCAUGGGAGCAGCAGCCCGCGAACGCGCCUUGCCCGUCGCCUCUGUCACGCCUGGGGCAGCCGGUCUGUCGUUGUAGCUGGAGGCUCGCCUGCCCCUUCGCCCUGGGGCCAGGUGUGCUUCCUGGUGCUGGGGCCAGGGACUGCUUUGGCGUCAGGGAUGUGCUUGUGAGAACAAGUUGACAACACAUUACAUCAGAAAAGGAGCGCGAAGAGAGACGCCAAACAUUUUAAACCAGUAAAACUGUUCCCUUUUUUUUUCUUAAGUAAAACCAUCAGAAUUGCGGAAUUUCGAAGUAUUGAAAUGGAAGUAAUGGCCGGCGUUACUCCCUGCAGGAGCCAGGGACGAGUAGGGAGGUGGAGUGAGGUGGACGCUGGUCUGACUUGCAGGGGUUUCGGUGCUUCCCUGGGCGACUGGAUUCUGCGCUGGACACACGGGAGCUCCGCUGCGGUGUCGGGCACGUCACCCAGGCACACUUGGUUCAGUGUAGAACAAGGCACGUCUUUACAGGCGCCGCCUGAAGUAUCUGAAGUCAACUUUGUUGUUAAUGUAAGUUUCAGGAAUCCUGGGCGGGUGCUGAAGCAGGCAGAUACAAUAUAGUCUUUGUGUAUCUUGGUUCCCUUGCUGUCAAAUAAGAAAACGCAAACCCCUUCUUCAAACGAAAGUAUUUUGAAAAGUAUUCGUGAAACACUCCUGGCAGUUGAUGAGGAAAUUCAUUUGAUAUUUCAUGCUCUUCAGUGAAGUCUUGAGACACAACUUGAAAUAAAGGGAUAAAAAGAAACGCUAAAUGUUCACUGAACUGUGCAAAGAGAAAAAGACUAUGCCUGCCUAAUUAGAGAAUGUGUACUAAGACGUUUUAAUUCUUGUUUAAAAAAUGAAAUUCAGAGGGAGCUGGGGGCAGUGUCUCGCUACACCUUUUGGCUGACAGAAGCCUUUGCUGCAGUAGGUCGCUCUCGCGGGGAGCAGCCGGCAGAGGGAGAUGGGACGCACCUAUCCUGGAGACUCCACUGAUGUUUCACGAUCAGAAAAUGUGAGAAAAAUCCCAUCAUCAUAAUGCAGAACUAAAAAUGUAGUCAUGUUUAGUAGAUUAUGACCCAGAGUUAAGAAUGUGAACAGCAUUGCUGCAGAGAGGAAUUUUAAGUGAUGUAUGUGAAACUGCCAAAAUGAGAAUUGCAGCCGAAGGAAGUGAGCCAGCAGUCUAACUACAAUCAAUAUCCAGGUUAAGUAAACAAUUACAGUCUGCCAGAGUUGGAAGAAAAUCCACGCAGCCUGACAGGGUGCCUGCAGUGUCUUCAGUUCUUUUAGAUCUGUGGGGUGGUCUUUCUUAGAUCAUCUCAGGUGAUACCAGGCUGGAACAUCGACCACUUCCACCUUGUGAGUGUUCCCAUCAGACUGUUCCUACCUCUGUCCAACAUGUGAGCCAACCCUAGCUGUAUUUCCCAAUUAUUGAAUAGAACUUGUCUAUUCAAUAGGAUGGCAUCUUUUAAAUUCCUUGAAAUUAUCUUCUGAAAAAAGCUACUCCUGCAACAAAACAAAGGCAAAGUCAUUUUAGAAUAGUUUUCAAAUUGUGGUUCAUAGCUGCAUUACACCUCAGAAAUAGCUUGGCUAUCUGUCACAGCGGGCACGGCUUCCUCUUCUGUCCCCAUACUCUGUAUACAAAAUGAUGGGUUAUUAUACAAAAGUUGUAUCUCUGUCUUAUUUACUGAAGUGUUGGUUCCUAAAUAAAGGAUCUCAACAAUGAUUUGAGCUGGCUGAAAACCUGCUUGAAAAUUAUGUCUUUCAGUAGAAGGUUUUACACAAACUCUGUUUCUGAAGUUAAAGUACUUCAAUUCCCAAUGAUAAAAUUCAUUAAAAUAUAAAUUAACCUAAACAAACAGAUGAAUCACAAUGGUAUAUUUGCAUAUCAUCUAUUUGGUGUGAAUGUAGCAGUUUCUUCGUGUAGACUAACAGCCACUGCAAUCUUCACAACUGCAUCAUUGAGGAAAUGACUGUGGGGUGAAUGAGAAAGCAAAGAGGACAAGGACAAAAAUUAUUUCUGCUGAAUGGGAAAGAAUGCUGCAGAAUUCUGCAGUUGGAAUUAAACCCUACAUUAAACCAGUUUCCUCCACUACGACGUAUCUCAGCUAAUCAAUUAGCAUAGGAGGUUUAUGACUAUCUCAGUAUUAUAAUAAUAGACAAGGAUUUAAGGAGAUAUCAUGUUUUGAUUGUAUUUUCAGAAUUGUAGAUAAUUAGUGAUUAUUGCAAUGAGGGUGAAUAUCAUCUAAGAAAUAAAGGUGAAGAGUGAUCAGGCUGGAUGGAAUGAGAAUGUCUUAUCUCAGGGGAGAUAAAUGGUCCACCUGCAGUAAGACCUUUCCAUCUGCAAAAGGCAGCAACAAAAAUUUCUAAUAAAGUUUGACCUGUUAUUCUGUAAGUAAUAUAUUCAAGACUCCAAUACGGAGUAUCUUGUCAAUUCCUCUUAGUAAAUGAAGCUGAACUGAUACAGCAGCUUGUGCAGUUCCUCUGAUCUGUACCAGUUCUCUGUAUAUGCCUUCAUGUGUAUUUCCGUGAAUUACUGAUGCACUUGGCCAGUGAGUUUUCUAUGACUUCAAAGCCAAGACUUUCACUUUGCCUUAUAUAAAACAUGCCCAGAAGCUGGGUACUGAAGAAAAUAAGUAAGGAGAAAAAUAUUGAUUUUUAGAUGUUAGGAUAAUCUAAGAAAAUUUUGUUUGUUUUUUCUUUAUAUUUCUCGUUUGUUGCGAAUACUUCCCACGAUAUUCUUUUGUAGUAAAUCAAUUAGCUCCAUAUAAAUGCAACUAAUAACUGCAAAUAUGUCAUUUGUAACAUCCAGAAAGUGCUAUGGCAUGGAAGGAAAUAUUCUUAAGAGACACUAUUCUACAUGUGUCCAGUUUUCUAGGGAAAAGGAUGAAGAACAGAUUGGUUACUCUUCAAGAAUGAUGGUCAUCAGGCUCAUUGUUGACUUUUUGAAAAGGCUUAUGGUUGACAUCAUACAGCACAAACUUGAUUAACUCUAAUAUAAUUUUUAGCUUUUGUGAUGCAACUCAGUUUGUUGUUGUGCAUUGCUCUGACAAUGUAGUGUUAGAAAGACAGUCAAAAGAGCCAAACAGUCCCAGAUUUAUGCCCUUUUUAGAAAUGACUAAGACAUUUUGAAUCCUAUAGAUUGACAGACCUUUAUACUUCUGAAUCACCUAGAAUAUCUUUGAAAAUAUGACCUUUAAUACAGUCCCAUCUUUCUAAACAGCUUCAAGGGUCAUCCCAGCGUUUCCAGAUAAAUUUGGAGACAAAUAAAAUGAGGAACUGCGGAGCUCAGCCUUAACCUGAGAAAGAAUAAAUCACAAGAUGUGGAAAAAAAAGAAAGUUCCCUGACUACAGAUUUUCAAACAAUACAAUUUUACUUUAAUAUCAUAUCCCACAAGUUCUUCAGUCACAUGAGAACCUGAAGCGUGAAGAACUGAAGCCAGAAAGAGUAUUCUUACUAAGGAAUAUGACAGAAAUGACAGUUUGGCAAUCUUCCAUAUCAGAAGAACAGCCACCAGCAGGUGAGUUGAGAGGACAAGAUGUGGCCAGCUUGGCACACGUACAUUUGUAUUCCAAGAAGGAAGGAUUCUUGACCCCUCCAUGAACUCAGUGGGAUCAGUUCUGGCCUGAGCUCCAAUGCACAGGGAAGCUGAGAGAGGUGCCCACAGGACCCCACAGGCUGGCCCAGAGAAGGUGAGCUCAUCCACCUUGAAUGGGGGAAAUAGGCUGCUCAGAGUGAACAGCCUGAGCGAGGUUUGGACUGUAUUUGGCAGCCCACUGUGCUGCUGAUCUUGCAGGGGCUAGGUGAGGUCCUUAUCCAUAACUGCAGUCUAGAAAUGCGCUUUUUAAUUUUAGUUUUUAUUUUGUGAGUUUAUUCAAUGUGGUGUGCAAGAGUCUAACCACUUAUUUUGCUGGAUUAAAUGUAUCCUGUUUUCAUCUUUUAUUUUGACAAGUGAAAGGCACAUUCCCUAUGGCUGAUUCAGGGCACUUUCUUACUGGUGGAGCAGAGAACUGUACACACUGGCACACAGGUAUUCCCUCGGAGCAGAGAAGUGGUUUCCCACCUAUUUACUGGAGUCAGCUUGAGGGCAAGUAACAGGCAGUGCUGGGUCAGUCUCCCUCGGCAGGCACAGCCAGUCUCUAACAAGCAGCAGACCUCUAUUAUUUUGAAGAAGUCCGCAUCUGUCUUGAUGACAGUGUAGGGAAAGUUAUUUCACCACUGUAGUGGCAUCAGAGGACACUCUCAGCAAGAAGUAACCAAUCUCUUUGGAGCUUGCAAAGGAAGGUGCAUCCCACAAAGCUAAUGUUAUGUGCACCACUUGUAGACAGAUUACGUUACAUGAAUGAGUUUGAUAGGAGUCACCAUGGUGAGGAAAGGAUAAUGGAAUUUCAGUAAAUGAGAAGUAACCUCUGCAAAGUCCAAUCAGAGGGAAUUUCAGCUCUUUAUAUUGCCUUGUGUCUGCUGUCUUGUACACUGGAGCUGUGCAAGUGAACUAAAUUCAGCACAGAGCAUUAAACGCUGUCUCUUUUGUAAUUAACAUCAGAGAGCUGUAUGAAGUCUUGAAGCUAUGAAAUCCUGCAAGUCCUGUCGAAAAUAUUUCUUUAUACAGAUCUUAAGUGUUAUUCAAAGGAAUUCACCCUAAAAGAUGGAGAACUGCUGGGACAUGAAGAACAUAAAGCUCUAAGACUGUAUGUUGGAGAAAAGUUCCCUCAGAAGCGUGUGUUUAGAUGCCUUUGGUGACACUUGCUGCCUUGCCUGCCAUGCCUGCAAGUGUGGCCUCACUUUCACUGUUAUUGCAACGUGUCAAGUGAAAUGAAAACAGAAAUUUGGGAAAGGAUAUAAUUAACCUACUUGUAAACAUUAACCUUAAAUAUCUACCUAAUUAUCUCACUAAUUUAAUCACUGCAUAUCUCAAACUUGUUUGUUAAAUAUUUAAUUCUGCAAAUUGUUUUUGAUACAGAGGUGUGGGGAGCUUUCUGUGAAUGUAAGUUACUCUGUAAAACUCUUUGCAAGAUCAUUGUUGUGUUCGCACUUCAUUGAACAAACCCUGCUGUCAACAAGACUUUUAAUGGAAAUCACAGGAAACUAUGCCCUGAGGCUAAGAGAUAUUGUGCCCUAUUAUUUUAAAAUCUAAUGAACACAUUGUGCAGAAUGUAGACCGGGGUAAACUUCUUCCUGCAUAUCUUCCGAUUUGAUUCCAUGGGAGUCUAGAGUGGAAAGUUCUGGGUUUCCUUGUUUCUUUGGUUGCAGUGCAGCUGUACGGUUGUUUCUUACCUAUUCACCUCUUUAUUACUUGGGGGACUUAGCAAAAUGCUGUCCUUGAUCUUCAGCCCUUUUUAUCAAGUCACUGCCUCGUGCUAAAAGUAAUCUAAAAGGUGUUUAGAUGCUGCAGUUACAAUGCCACUCAAAGUGGCUCUAAUUAUUCCUGAGAGGAAAGUUUUGAAUUGGGAGUGUUUGUUGAGAAGAUGAAAGCUCCAUGUUUGUUCCUUCCUCCCGGAUGGGAAGGGGGCUGUGCUCGCACUGCCUCCUGCAAACACACACGAGGCCCAGCUGAGCACUGCAAGGAGGGCCUUGGGGAUGCCUCCAGCUGCUGGGGCUGGGAGAGGAAACAGCCAGGCUGUGGGUGCUGAGGAAAAUCCCAGAUGGAGCGGACAGCUAACCCAGGACAAGCUCUAGAGGCACCUGAAUCCUCUGUUCCAUGAGAAGGUAGGGGCUCUCAGCUGUGCAGUGCCUCCCCUCCCUCUAUCACUCCCCAGGGGCUUCAGCCAGCCCCACAUUUCAGGCUGUACCCACAUGGCGGUUCUGCAAUGCUAUUUUCUUCAUUUUUGUUAUAUAAGUCUCCUUAAUUGAGGAAGAAGGUGAAAGAUUGGGACUAACAUUGUGUUUCUGCGCUGUAGUUCUCACUGUCAGAUGAAGGUGCAAAGCUGCACUAAAUCCAGGUGAUGGCUCACAGCAGACCUCUGACAGGAGCCAUGUGAUUAGUUAGAUGUCCAUAUAAAUACCUAUUUGCACUAUAUUACUACCUUAUCAUAUAUUAUUUGGAAUUUCAUCCUGAUUGUCUGUAUUUAUUACAUACAAUUCAUACAUUUAUUUAUUACAUACAAUUCAUGUAUUUAUUAUACACAAUUCAUACACUUAUUACACACAAUUCAUUUAUUACAUGCACAAUUCUUACUGUUUAGUUCAAUGAGAAACAAAUUUCUGUGAAUUUGGCUGAAUAAAGCUGUGUUUGUUCUUGUUAGUUAUCCAAAGUCUCGUUCUUUCUAUGCAUUAUCUCCAUUUCUGGGCAUUUUUCCCCUUCAUUUACUCCAAAAAUUACUUCAAUACUAAUGAAAACUGAAAGACAGCCAAGACAGGGUGAACUUUUGGACAAUUUAUGCAAACAUGACAGAUGAGAAUAGAUUUACUAUAAACAUGCCAGGCACAAAAGACUUGACUGCUUUUUAAAUACAGUGAUACUGGAAGAGAUUUAUGGAUAUUUUCAACUGUUCAUUAAAGAGAAAGAUAUUUUGAAACUAUAGGCACUAUCCUUUUAUCUGUUUUUGCCUUCCAGGCUGAGUUGCAAAUGUUUGAUGUUUUCUUCACCAAAAAAUAAAAGUAGUUAUGAAUUUAUUUCUCCCAAGCACUUCAAUUUUUGUGUCAAUUUACAGUUUUUAUUGCAUUUCUGGCAGUCCAAAUUAUAGUGUUUGGAGAGCACCUAGAGUCCACAGCUCUGAGUUUUCCGAAAAUAGGAAUGAAGUUCACUUAGUGAUGCUUUCUGGCCACUGUCUUUUUUCUUCUCCGUUGUCAUAAAAGGUUAAUAAAAUCUAUGAAUACUUUAACUGCCUGCUAGACCAACCAACCAAUAAAAGGUUAUUCUGAUCUAAGUUACUGGAAGCCUCUUGAACUGAGAAAGCUAACAUGCAGUAACUAGUACCUGCUGGAUCAGAUUAAUAAAAUGCAAAGUCCUAGAGAUGAAAAUCAUGUCUAAAUAUGGUCCUUGUAGUUGUCCAAGGCAUCAGUUCCUAGAGACAGAUAGGCAUAUACUUAACUGUAUAUUCUCAGAGUCUGCUUCUGUGCCCUUAAAAAUCAAUAGUAAGCCUUGCUUUCAACUUCAGUGCAACUGAGGUUGUUGGCAGUCGAUGAUUUUGCAAGAUCAGUUCAAGAUAUCGGAAUAGUUUCAUGGAAUUAUUGGAUUCUUUCUUUCUAAAAUAGUGUUAAACUCAUAUAAGUAGUAAGAAUUUAAACGUGAAAAUAUAUGCUCUUGCAUUGCUUCUUAAAAACAGUGUAUCUUGCCAAAUCUCUCCUAUCAAGUCAAAACAGUGCACCAAAAUGAUAGCAGGAAGAAUUGUGCAGUGCUUGAAAAAUCUAAUCCUGCAUACUCACAGUGCUGACUAUGCCCUCAUUCUUUGAAAAGAUGGAGAAAGAGCAGAUUUGGAUGGAAAAUAACAGUUUUCAUCGCAACCUUAGAAAGAUAUUGACAAUUUUUUAGCAGAAUCAUUUGAGCAUUCUGAGAGCCUUCAAAAAAAGGCAGAAACCUUAAUAAAUGCUUCAUUUUGGAAAAAUGGAUAGCUGAAAGUACUAUUUUAGCAAUUUUUACUGGACUUGCAUUUCCAGCUUUUUAAAAUUAAUUUAAGAGCCACAAACCAACACACAUUUAUGAAUAACAUAAUGAAGUUGGAGAUAAUGCAAAUGUCUUUAUAAAUAACAUGGUAUAGCUUAAAUCAUUAUUUUUAAUGCUUCUUUUUUUUUUUCCCCCUAUAAGAACAGGUCUGUGCUGGUCUGCAUUAAUUAAAUCUAGGUAGGAUUCUAAGGCCAGAUCAUCAUUACUUCUGUGUCGCUGAUUUAAAUCUGCAGUAAAACAUUUCUCCAUUUAGUUUGGUGCUUUUGUGUCAUAUUUCAUACACUAGUUGUCUCUUAAUUAAAUCCAUGAUGGCCCACCAACACAGACUAUUAAAAUAACUAUACUUUGCACUUGACAUAUUUAUGAGACAGAUUCAUAAGAGUAUAGACUGAUACUUGAACUACUCACUGAGAAAUGCUAAUAAGAUUAUGAUGAAGGUAAGAUUAGAACAUUCGUCUCCCUUUUUGCUUCUCUCUUCUUUUUAGAAAUUUAUUUUUAUAACUGCAAUUCACUAUUUCUAUUCCAGGCUCUUUGAUGUUGUUGUAUAUACCAACAGUUCUUUCUGUGUGGAUUUAUUGUGGCAAUGAAGAGUGGGAAACUGCUAAUUUAUAUUACAUCAGUAAAGUGCGUAACUAUCGUGUUCCUUGAAUUAUGAAUGUUUGCAGACGUCUGUAAAACCUUCGCAUGGGAUUGACAUGUGCAAGAUAAUACCUUUGGAAUUGGGUGAUGAAAAAUAUGGAUUAUCAUGAAGUGCCACAUUGUUUUUCCUUUACUGCCUUACUCCUUCAGAGCUCCUGCAGGUGUAGGGCCGGCUGAGUCUGCUCCUCUGUGAGGGAGGAGGCAGUGGCGUUGUGCCUGUGACCCCUCACUGCAUGUUGUGCCAGGCAGGAUGUGGCCUUGGUUCCCCAGCUCCAUGUUUGAGAAAAACAUUGCUGAAAGAGCUGCUGAAUGAAAAUCAUCAAGGAUUUCUAUAAUUUUUCAGGACCAAGAUGUUCACCUCUGAGGGAUCUUUCCUCUCUCUCCCUUUUUUCCCAUUCACAUUCUUUCAUGGAAGGGCUCCCACUCAUGACUGUGUCUGGGGUCCAGGUGUGGUCACAAAUGGAGAGCAGCUUGGAGGGUAUUAAUUUUUCAAGUGGGGUAUACAGAAACCCAUAGCUAUAUGGUGUUCAGAUUUUUUUGAGGGUAAUACAUCCCUGUGCUUCAUUCUGAUAUUCUCCAUGAAAGUGGCAAAAACAUCAAAUGUUGGGAUUUGAUGUAGAGAUAAAUACAAUAUUAGAAAGUAAGAAUAAUAAAGAUAUAUUAAAUAUUUCAUCCUCUACAGAAAUAAACCAGCUACAGUUCAGGGAGCUUCACUAAACACAUUAAGUCUAAUAAAAUCGCCUACACGUACUCCUGACACUAGUAGUAAUUAAAAUAACUUGUUUCAAAAAACUGGUCCUAUACAUGAAUACUUAUUGGCAAUUAUUUCUAAGUUCUUCAAACCAAAGAUAAAGUAAUUUGAUUCACACACAAUGUUCUUGUAAACGUCGUUCAUACUGAGUUUUAUAUGCAGCUUAGGACUGUUAAUUGCCAUUUUGAGCCUCACAGUAAAAUAGAGUUCAAUAUGUCGCUUUUUCUAAAGUAUUGAGAAAUGUUUGAGAAAUGCUUGUCUUAGUCUAAUCAACUGUGAAUAAUUUAUUUCUUAGUCCUACUUUUCAAUAUAAAUGGAUCUGACUUUUCUCCGAGCUUCUCAAGUCUAAUCAACUUGUUACAUUCAUUUAAUUAGGGAAAUCUGUAACGAACUGUGAAAUGUAUGUACCAACAGGCUUUUUUGUUGUGUAAAAUUGGCAUAUCUUCAUUGUGAAUGUGAUUGUGACUGUUUAUACUGACAGCCUCUACUAAACAAAUAAUUUUUUUUUUCUACACAGAUAGGUCAAUAUAAAUAGCAUAUAAGCUCUUUUCUGAGCCACCUCUCUCCUGUUGGACCCACCACCCAGCUUCCCCAAUUCACGCAGUUGUAGCUUUCAGGCAAUUCUCAUUUCUGCGACAGAAGUGUUCUUCCAUGCUUCAGACUGGAGGAGGAUGUAGUAGAGGUGUGACAUAUAAGAGUGUGGAUAAGAGACUUUUUAGUCACAGUGAGCCUGAAAAAGAUCAUCACAGUAGAAUAUUAAAACACUGGCACAAGCUUAUGGUCAGGAUCUGCACGUCACACAGUUACCCACAAAGGGGUGAGCUCAGGCACUGAGUAAAAGUCCUGUGUUUCCCAGCCUGACAUAAUUUGUUCUCAUUUCUCUGAGAAACAGCAUCAUAGGAAGGGUAAAAUAAAGGGCUCUUAUAUCGCAUAUGCAUUUGUUUUUAAAAAGACUAUAUUUAUUUGUUAAAAGAUGUUCAGAAGUCCAUCAUUUCUCCCAUAUUCCUGUGAUAUGAGAAAAUUUUUUAUUAAAAAUAAAGAGAGAUGCUGCGGGGAUUGAUGUAUUAUUUUUUUUCUCCUUGUGCUCAGACAAAUUCUUCAGACUCAGAGAAAAAGUCCUCAACCCUGGUCUAAAAUACUGUCCAGUGCUUAUGGGUUAUAAUAUGAAAAUCAUCAAAACUGUCCUUGACAGGAUGUUUCUUUCAAUUAGUUGAUUAAAAUGGUUUAUUGUUGCCUACAGCAUCAUUACUUUAAAUGUAUUUUUUUACAAAGAGCAGAUGUGUCCACUGUUUCUCUUCAUGUGGUUUCUGAUAAAUAUGGAAGUGAAAUUACUAUCUUGGCAGAUCCCUCCCAUGGAAUUUCAGAAAGGGAGAGGGAAAGGUGAGGGGCUCAGUGAUGGGGCUGGGGUACCUGCUGAGUUGGGAGUGCAGGGCAGGGCAGCGGUGGCAGCACUCGGGCACAGGGGUACAAUGGCACUGCAAAGAAUUGGAGGCAAAGCAUGCAAACCUGCAAGCACAAAGUGCUCAGAGUAGGAAAAAAAUCUGGCCAAAAUCUGGAAUUAUUUGCCUGGUAAUGCUGUAUGCCUGCUCUGACAAAGCAAGAAGAGGGUUUUCACAUUUUUUCAGAUGGUCAACUCUAAAGUUUCAGUCAGAACAUGGAAGUGGAGAGCAGCUGAUCCUAAAACACUAAAUAAGGUUGCAUCAGUAUAAAAUCUUAUCUAUCUACUGCUGUGACAAAGAAAACUGAAAAGUCUAAGUCUUCAGGAUGCACAUUAUACUUUCUUUGUUUUCUUGUCCCAUCCAUGUUUGAUGGGGGAGCUGAAAUCUCAAUACUAUUUCCAAAUCUAGGGGUCAUUUCAAGCCGUAGUUAUGGUAUGAAUACCUUUCCAUCCCCCAGCACAAUUUUUCUAAGGCAUGUUGUCAUCUAAUGAUAAUGGAGUCUUUCAUUAGUGAAUCACAAGUUAUUGGACAUGUGACCUUAUGUUCAAUAAAUAUUUAUUUGAGAAUUAUAGGUUAAUUAAUUUCCAUUGUUUCUGUUUUAAUUCUAUACAUGCUUAUACUAUACAAUUAGAGACAAACGCAGAGAACCACGAGUAAAUGUUGCUCAUACAAAAUGUUUCUAUUACCCUUUACUUUUAAAACCAUUAAUAGAUUAUUAGGAGAUACAAACAUAGGAGGCCAUGGAUCAUAUUUGCAUGUUAAUGAAAUUCAUGAAUUAUACAUUAUUUGCUAUGGAGAGUACUAGAAACAAUAUUCUUCCUUUCUAAUAGUUAUAAAAGCUAGCAGUUUCCUGGAGCACACAUCACAUCCCCUCUGCAAUACCUUCUAAUAGAAAGAAAGAAAUCCAGCUCUUCAAAGCAAUCUCUCACUAAAUGAAAUAGAUUUGUUUGUGUUGCUUUGCAACACACAAGUGUGACAGUUCAUUUUAAACAAAAUAGUUUUAAUAAUGUCAUUACUAAUAUCUAUUUGGUCAUCUCUCUGAAAAAUGUUGUUUUAAUAGGAAUGUUUCAUUUUAAUAAAUGGCAGAAGGGGCAAGCUGCCCUGAGUCAGCAGGAAGUGGAUAUACACCA